rnacentral:rRNA from 1 species
GAUGAACGCUGGCGGCGUGCCUAAUACAUGCAAGUCGAGCGAACGGACGAGAAGCUUGCUUUUCUGAUGUUAGCGGCGGACGGGUGAGUAACACGUGGAUAACCUACCUAUAAGACUGGGAUAACUUCGGGAAACCGGAGCUAAUACCGGAUAAUAUUUUGAACCGCAUGGUUCAAAAGUGAAAGACGGUCUUGCUGUCACUUAUAGAUGGAUCCGCGCUGCAUUAGCUAGUUGGUAAGGUAACGGCUUACCAAGGCAACGAUGCAUAGCCGACCUGAGAGGGUGAUCGGCCACACUGGAACUGAGACACGGUCCAGACUCCUACGGGAGGCAGCAGUAGGGAAUAUUGCACAAUGGGCGAAAGCCUGACGGAGCAACGCCGCGUGAGUGAUGAAGGUCUUCGGAUCGUAAAACUCUGUUAUUAGGGAAGAACAUAUGUGUAAGUAACUGUGCACAUCUUGACGGUACCUAAUCAGAAAGCCACGGCUAACUACGUG